rnacentral:rRNA from 1 species
GACGAACGCUGGCGGCGUGCUUAACACAUGCAAGUCGAACGGGCCCGCCCCUGUUUUUGGGGGUGGGUUGAGUGGCGAACGGGUGAGUAUCACGUGAGUAACCUGCCCCCUGCUCCUGGAUAACUGCUUGAAAGGGCGGCUAAUACGGGGUGUGCCGGCUGGUCCGCAUGGGCCUGGUCGGGAUAGUUUCAUCUUCGGGUGUUUCGGUGGGGGAUGGGCUCGCGGCCUAUCAGCUUGUUGGUGGGGUGAUGGCCCACCAAGGCGGUGGCGGGUAGCCGGGGUGAGAGGGUGGGCGGCCACGAUGGGACAGAGACACGGCCCAGACUCGGGCGGGAGGCAGCAGGGGGGGGGAUUGCACAAUGGGAGGAAGACUGAUGCAGCGACGGCGCGUGAGGGAGGGAGGCCUUCGGGUUGUGAACCUCUGUCGCCGGGGGUGAAGGCCCUGUCCGUUGCGGCGGGGUUGACGGUAGCCGGGUAUGAAGCGCCGGCUAACUACGUG